CAGAGGUUCUGAUCCAAAGUCUCAGGAAAACAGCCCCAAACUGAAAUCUCCAUGGCUACUUAUUUGUAACUCAAGGACACGAGAGCAAAGAUGCAGAUGAAAAACAUAUGCAACAUUUGUGUAGGAGUUUUUGGUCAAGGAAGAGAAAAGGAUCAGGCCUCCACAAUACAAGGCAGCACAGCAGAAGUACCAACAAGGAUCUGAGAGACAGUCAGCCCAAGACCGGCA
rnacentral:lncRNA from 1 species